rnacentral:rRNA from 1 species
CAGGACGACGCUGGCGGCGUGCCUCAUACAUGCAAGUCGAGCGGUCUGGCGCAAGUCAGAUAGCGGCGGACGGGUGAGUAACACGUGGGUAACCUGCCCUAAAGACCGGGAUAACAUCCUGAAAGGGAUGCUAAUACCGGGUAUGGUCUUCCAGUCGCAUGGCAGGAAGAAGAGAGGAGCAAUCCGCUUUAGGAUGGGCCCGCGUCCCAUUAGCUAGUUGGUGAGGUAACAGCUCACCAAGGCGACGAUGGGUAGCCGACCUGAGAGGGUGACCGGCCACACUGGGACUGAGACACGGCCCAGACUCCUACGGGAGGCAGCAGUCGGGAAUAUUGGGCAAUGGGGGAAAAACCCCUGACCCAGCAACGCCGCGUGAGUGACGAAGGCCUUCGGGUCGUAAAGCUCUGUCCUUGGGGACGAACGAUGACGGUACCCAAGAAGAAAGCCACGGCUAACUACGUGCCAGCCGCCGC